rnacentral:rRNA from 1 species
GAUGAACGCUGGCGGCGUGCCUAAUACAUGCAAGUCGAGCGAACAGACGAGGAGCUUGCUCCUCUGACGUUAGCGGCGGACGGGUGAGUAACACGUGGAUAACCUACCUAUAAGACUGGGAUAACUUCGGGAAACCGGAGCUAAUACCGGAUAAUAUAUUGAACCGCAUGGUUCAAUAGUGAAAGACGGUUUUGCUGUCACUUAUAGAUGGAUCCGCGCCGCAUUAGCUAGUUGGUAAGGUAACGGCUUACCAAGGCAACGAUGCGUAGCCGACCUGAGAGGGUGGUCGGCCACACUGGAACUGAGACACGGUCCAGACUCCUACGGGAGGCAGCAGUAGGGAAUCUUCCGCAAUGGGCGAAAGCCUGACGGAGCAACGCCGCGUGAGUGAUGAAGGACUUCGGAUCGUAAAACUCUGUUAUUAGGGAAGAACAAAUGUGUAAGUAACUAUGCACGUCUUGACGGUACCUAAUCAGAAAGCCACGGCUAACUACGUG